CCCGGGCCGGGCCCGGGGCUGGGCGGUGGCCCGCGGGCAGGGGCUCUCCACGCCCCCGCCACGCCCCACCUGCCCGCGCCGCCAGGGGAGCGCGCCCGAGCCGCGCGCCGCCCGCCCGGCCGCCCCGCCCCUGCAGCCCCUCCUCGCGGGCCCGGGAGCGCGGGGAGCCCGGGGAGGCAGCGGGGCGCCGGCGCCUCCAGGUUUAAGGCGAAGAGCACCCCGUUCCUAGCCACCGUAUUCUUAGCCCAAUAAGGAGCUAAAAUAACGAAUACUAAAACAAAGAGAAGAUAACCGAAAUAGUGCAACUGUUUUCUAAAUGGUCCGUAAGUUAACUUGCGGUGGCCGCUUAGAGCACCUGCCUCCCUGCUUCAGUUUUUCUACCUGAAGCCUGUACACCUUUUGUGAUCGAGUUGGAAGAGAUUCACGUCCGGUCUUAACUGACCGGCUCCCGGUCGGAAAUAAUAGACGUGAAUUGCAACCCUUUGGGGGUAUACGGUUAUCAAAAACACUGAGCAAAUAUACUGAAGUUCACCUGCCCACUCCCAGCUGUGUGACAGCAUGAGCCAACUUCCAUUAAACUAAAGCCAGUUUCCAUUGACCAGAAAAUCAUUUUGCAUCUCCUAUACCAAGAGCUCUCUAAUAUAGUCUAAGCUUAUUUGGGACAGAAGUCAGGCACAUAAAGAGACAAUGCAGUGAAAAUCUGGGGCAAUCAGAGAAGGCUUCUAGAGGAAGUGACAUUUGAGCUGGAUGGCCUCUAAAGAUGGAAGGAUGAGCGUUUUGGACAGAAUGAACAGCACAGAAGUUCAGGCAAAGAAAAGAUGAUAGCUGGUUUCUCGCCGUUUCACCAACGACGGGCAGUGAUCCGUGCACAAACCAAGCAGCGGGGGAAGAUAGAUCACCAAGAGAAGUGGUUCUGUUUAUCCACAAACACCUUGACAACUUGCAGUGAUGGAAAAGGAGACCAGGCAAGAUAUCAGGUAGAAUAGGCCACAGCCAAACUGGCAAUGCUGCUCUUAACUCUCUCGGCUUUAUUUGUUCUUUUCCUUGCCAUGUUUCUGCAACGUUGUGA
rnacentral:lncRNA from 1 species